GAUGAAGAACGCAGCGAAAUGCGAUAAGUAAUGUGAAUUGCAGAAUUCAGUGAAUCAUCGAGUCUUUGAACGCACAUUGCGCCCCCUGGUAUUCCGGGGGGCAUGCCUGUCCGAGCGUCAUUGCUGCCCAUCAAGCACGGCUUGUGUGUUGGGUCGUCGUCCCCUCUCCGGGGGGGACGGGCCCCAAAGGCAGCGGCGGCACCGCGUCCGAUCCUCGAGCGUAUGGGGCUUUGUCACCCGCUCUGUAGGCCCGGCCGGCGCUUGCCGAACGCAAAACAACCAUUUUUUCCAGGUUGACCUCGGAUCAGGUAGGGAUACCCGCUGAACUUAAGCAUAUCAAUAAGCGGAGGA
rnacentral:misc_RNA from 1 species